UACAGAGGUCUCAAGCGUUGUUCGGAUUCAUUGGGCGUAAAGGGUGCGUAGGCGGCGCGGUAAGUCGGGUGUGAAAUCUCGGGGCUUAACUCCGAAACUGCAUUCGAUACUGCCGUGCUUGAGGACUGGAGAGGAGACUGGAAAUUUACGGUGUAGCGGGUGAAAUGCGUAGAGAUCAGCAGGGAAACACCCCGUGGGCGAAAGGCGGCCCCCUGGGCCUACCUGACGCUGAGGCGCGAAAGGCUAGGGGAGCGAACGGGG
rnacentral:rRNA from 1 species